UACGUAGGGUGCGAGCGUUGUCCGGAAUUAUUGGGCGUAAAGAGCUUGUAGGCGGCCUGUCGCGUCUGCUGUGAAAAUCCGGGGCUCAACCCCGUACUUGCAGUGGGUACGGGCAGACUAGAGUGUGGUAGGGGAGACUGGAAUUCCUGGUGUAGCGGUGAAAUGCGCAGAUAUCAGGAGGAACACCGAUGGCGAAGGCAGGUCUCUGGGACGCUACUGACGCUGAGAAGCGAAAGCAUGGGGAGCGAACAGG
rnacentral:rRNA from 1 species